rnacentral:rRNA from 1 species
GAGUUUGAUCGUGGCUCAGAUUGAACGCUGGCGGCAUGCCUUACACAUGCAAGUCGAACGGUAACAGGUUAAGCUGACGAGUGGCGAACGGGUGAGUAAUGUAUCGGAACGUGCCCAGUCGUGGGGGAUAACUGCUCGAAAGAGCAGCUAAUACCGCAUACGACCUGAGGGUGAAAGCGGGGGAUCGCAAGACCUCGCGCGAUUGGAGCGGCCGAUAUCAGAUUAGGUAGUUGGUGGGGUAAAGGCCUACCAAGCCGACGAUCUGUAGCUGGUCUGAGAGGACGACCAGCCACACUGGGACUGAGACACGGCCCAGACUCCUACGGGAGGCAGCAGUGGGGAAUUUUGGACAAUGGACGCAAGUCUGAUCCAGCCAUGCCGCGUGCGGGAAGAAGGCC